CAACAAAAAAUCACUGGCCUUCUUCCACGCACCUCCUAAACAUUUCCCCACUUUCUCCAUCUUGCUCCCUUCCUUCCUUCUUCCACGCACCACUACUUCCACAACAGUUAAUUAAGGAUCGGUUUCCCUACAAUCCCGAUACGAUUUCAAGAGUUCAAUCCCAAUUCACUCAAACCGAAAUUUCCCAAAUCCAAAAUUAAAGAGUUCCCUUCAAUCCAUAUAGCAGAUUUUUUUCGUGUUUUAGCUCUUCCCGGCGAACUUUUCUCGGCGGCGACUUAUUAUCUGGCGAUAGUACUUCCCGGUAGCGUGUGGUUGAAUUAUCAAUUGGAGGAAAGGGUCGGGAAAGAUUGGAAAGGUAGAAUUGCUGGACUGGAACCCAUGAACUUCUUAACUGUUGCAACUCCACAUCUGGGUUCACAUAGGUCAUAGACAGGUGGGUACCUCAGCUAGACUCGAAUAAGUAUGUUUCCUAAACUCAAACUGUUAUUUUUGAUAUGAAUGUCUCUAUUUUAGAGCGACAUAGAUUGUAAAACUUUUGCGUGCUACUUGUUAGUUGUUACAGACAAGCUAGAUAUUUGUUCUGCCUCUAGAAAGUUUGAUUUUCAAUUUUUAGCUACAAGCACACUCAAAGAUCGCCAAACUUUAAUUCUAAUUAUCCCUCUCUGACCCUGAGUCUUUUAGUAAUCAUAUAAAAUGUCUAGAGAGUCAAUUUUACUAAAGAACGAUAUGAUGCAAAUGGUGGGAGGCUGCAGCAGGGCUAUAGAUGUCUGGUUUGCUGGUGGUUGUCCUUAUUUAAGAAUGUUUAAGAAAGAUAGCCAUAUAAAAAAGAGAUGGGAAAGUAUUGAUAUUUGACAAAAGAGCUGGGAAAGAUGUUAUGUCGUUACUGUAAGCUGCGUUGCGCAAGAUGUUAUGUUCCCAGCUUUAUGACAAGGACAUAUACAUUUCUUCAUAUUACUGGACUCGUUUUCAUUUCUGAGAGAUGAAAAGAAAGAGGCUAGCUUUUCGAGAAAUCUGCUUAUCAUUUAGCUACUGAUGGUCAAAUCCAAAAGUAUAAAACAGAUUGUGUGGUUUUGUGACUGAGUAAAGUCGAUUUCUAGAGGUAACAUAAGCACUAAGGCUAAAUAGGUUGCUGAUAGAUUUCGCGUUGAUGCUCUGCAGCUUGAAAGGAUCUUCCAGUACGUGUUCCUGCCACCUGAGAAUAAUACUAGCAGAAAGAAACAUGAGCUUGUUGCCUGAUUUCCCCUUCCUAUGGUAAUACUAAUUGAAUGAUUGAUUGCUUUUUGUGGUAAUUGUUAAAAAGUGUAUUUGCGAAACAUUUAGCUUCUGAUGAUGAUGAAAAGUUCUGCAUGGGAUUGUUAGCUUUUGCCAACAAUUGUAACACCUCGAUACUAUCUGGCGUUGUACAUGGAUAAUUGAUAUAUCAUGUAAAGAGUUACCAUUUUUCCUGUAAAAAUGAUUCAGAUAAGAACUUUAGUUUGCCAGUGGUUUUUAUUUUCUUCCACAUUUGUGUGAAAAGUUCUCCUGUCGUUCCGUGGCGCUUUAGCCAUUAGGUACUUGCAUAAAUGAGUAUAGAAAGUUGAUGUACUGUGUUCAGUUGAACUGCAUAAUGUGUAUCCUCUGCUUCGCAUGCACUUCCCAAACCCAAUAAAUGGAAUUCAGCUUUGUGCAAAAUGCAGUUAAGAUUCUCUUCAUUUUCGAUGGAAAUGUGUACUUAUCCAAAAAAUAUUUAUAGUACCAGAUUUUACUGCAGUUAUGGAUUGGAUCCUCUUGUCUGAAAUUAGGUUAAUUGCAACAGAUGUUUACUAUAGUGAUGAACUAGACCAAAUGAGCAAAUUUUAAUUAACUUUUCUGGGUUGCUUAUUGCUUUCCUUGCAAAUUGGAUUUUGGUAUUCAUUGUCCUUGGAUUAAUACCCUUAAUAGGCCUUAACGGAUACAUCCAAAUGAAAUUUAUCAAGGGAUUUAGUGCAGAUGCAAAGGUUCUAUCUAUCUCUCUCUCUCUCUCACUCUUCCUCAUUCCUCAACAAGAGGAACAUAUUGUAUAUAUCAAGCUUAACUAAUUGACAUAUGUCUUUGUGGCCGGUGUCUUGCAGAACAAGUAUGAAGAGGCAAGCCAAGUUGCUAAUGAUGCAGUUGAGAGUGUAAGAACAAUUGCUUCUUUUUGUGCCGAGGAGAAGGUAAUGCAGUUGUAUGAAAAGAAAUGUGAGGCUCCUGUAGAAGCUGGUAUAAAGCAAGAAAUAAUUAGUGGGGCAGGUUUCGGAGUGUCAUUUGCUUUGCUAUUUUUUGUCUAUGCCAUCAGUUUCUAUGCAGAAGCUCAACUCGCAGGGAAUGGAAAAACUACCUUUACCAAGGUCUUUCGCGUAAGUAUCUAUUUAUUUUUUAAAAUUCCAUAUAUAUGAAUAAAAUGUUAAAUGCAACUACGUACGUACUGCAUGUUUUCUUCGCUCUUACCAUGGCAGCGAUAGGAAUAUCACAAUCUAGCUCCUUUGCUCCUGAUAGUAGUAAAGCCAAGAGUGUUGCUGCCUCUGUAUUUUCAAUCCUUGAUCGUAAGUCUAAGAUAGACCCAAGUGAUGAAUCUGGGAUGAUCUUGGAUGAUGUAAAAGGUGAAAUUGAGCUUCGGCAUCUGAGGUUUUCAUAUCCAACUAGACCAGAUAUUCAGAUUUUUCGAGAUCUAAGAUUGAGCUUCGUCGAACAGCAGCUAGACGAAUCAACUCAACAAGCGCUUCAUCCAAAACCUCCAGUGCACCGGAACUGUGUAGAUUACGGUAAACAAGAGCAAUCCUGUUUUCUGCAACAUAAACCAAAUCCCAUUGAGAGAAUUUAGCAGCAAGUUGGAUUGCAUCAAUUGCCAAAACGGGUGAGUCCAAGGAAGACAGCAACAAGUUGGAUUACUUCAAUUGCCAAAACUGGUGAGUCCAAGGAAGACAAUGAUCACUCUUGAACGCACAUUCUGAACAUCAUUAAAAAACCAGUGUGUAGUGGCCAACAAAGCUCUAUGUAUAGGCGUAUGACAUCAUAUAAAUAUACAUUGUUGUAAUUUUAGUUUGUCGAUUUGAAAUAAUAUGGCACAUGUGGUUCUUUCUCUUUUGUUGUUAUUUUUUUUUCUACCGCGUCGACAACAUUGUAUAGGAUUUUAAGUUAAGAGAUAUC